rnacentral:misc_RNA from 1 species
GAUGAAGAACGCAGCGAAAUGCGAUAAGUAAUGUGAAUUGCAGAAUUCAGUGAAUCAUCGAAUCUUUGAACGCACCUUGCGCCCUUUGGCCAUUCCGAAGGGCAUGCCCGUUUGAGUAUCAUGAACACCUCAACUCUUCAUGGUUUUCCAUGAUGAGCUUGGACUUUGGGGGUCUUGCUGGCCUGUGGGUCGGCUCCUCUCAAAUGAAUCAGCUUGCCGGUUUUUGGUGGGCAUCACAGGUGUGAUAACUAUCUACGCUUGUGGUUUUCCACCAGGGUAACCUUCAGCAGUGGAGGUUCACUGGAGCUUACAAAUGUCUCUCCUCUGUGAGGACAGCCCUUUGAAUGUUUGAUCUCAAAUCAGGUAGGACUACCCGCUGAACUUAAGCAUAUCAAUAAGCGGAGGA